UACGUAGGUGGCAAGCGUUGUCCGGAUUUACUGGGCGUAAAGAGCGCGCAGGCGGUCCGAUCAGUCGAAUGUGAAAGCCCCCGGCUCAACUGGGGAGGGUCAUUCGAUACUGUCGGACUCGAAGGCAGGAGAGAGAAGCGGAAUUCCCGGUGUAGUGGUGAAAUGCGUAGAUAUCAGGAGGAACGACCGGUGGCGAAGGCGGGGUCUCUGGGCCGAUACUGACGCUGAGGAGCGAAAGCGUGGGGGAGCGAACAGG
rnacentral:rRNA from 1 species